rnacentral:tRNA from 1 species
GCCCCUGUGGACAAAUGGUUAAGUCGCUGCUCUUUCAAAGCGGAAAUUGCGGGUUCAAAUCCCGCCAGGGGAA